CUUAGCUAUGGUACUUCUCUCUUUUAUUUUUACAGUUGUGACUCCUCUAAAGUCACGGUGUUGUUAUCGUUCGGGUCGUCAUAUAAAGACUCAAGUGGCCUCCCUUUUCUCUUCCAAUGUUGACCCUCCAUCCAUAGCAAGACAGAAAACCCUAGUUAGCAUCGUUCCUAAAUCAACCAUAAAGAAAAGAAGAGAGAAAAAAAAAAGGGAAAAGGGGUUGUUUACCCUUUAUAUUUAAGGGCUUGUACUUGGAACCUUGAUGAGCUUGUGGUUGCGGCUACGAAUGAGAGCUUCUUCUUCUUCUCAUGGAGAGGAAAAUGAUUGGUUCCCUCUCUCUCUCUCUCUCUCUCUCUCUAUCUCUCAUGUAUGGCAUUGCGUGUAGGUGUCGAAAGCACGUUGUGCAGCCAAGGAUGACUUGCCGACUCUCUUUCUUCUUCUUUACUUGGAUUGGAUCUCUCUCUCCGUGUGUGUUGAAUUAAUGGAAAUUUUGAAGUUGGCAAGUUGUUCUUGGCUACAUACUUCUUUCAGCUCCACAUGCCAGGCCAUUGGUGAUAACUCACGGUCACAGAUGAAUCGCCGAAUCCGAAUUCCGAUCCAUUUUUCGCGCGCCCGUGAUUGCUCGAGAGGUGUUGCUGCGUCUUGCAGCCGAUACUCCUCGGGAGGGUGAGAUACCAAGCAAAACUCCCAUCUGAUACUACUAGUUUGAUAAAGGAAUACCUUUUGUCUGAACUACCUUGAUUCAAAAGUCACCGACCUUGUUUAAGAAUGAAUGUGCUUAUUGAGUUAUCGAGAGGUAUGUGGAGAUCGAUUGCUUAUGAAUUGCUAACAUUCUCCAAGGCAGUGCAAUACAUAGCCGGUGAAGAAGAAAGAAUGAGUUCAUCUUCUCCCAGUUCCCUCUCCAUCGUUGUGUGUGUCGACUGUCGACUCAUCCAUUAAUUGUGGUGCUUACUUCUGAUUAAGUACACUUGUGGAUCACUCGCUGCCAUAUCAUCUGCGGCCAACUAUAGAUUCUCGUCCAAACUGUGUUUAUUUACCGGCGAGUCAAAUGGUUUUGAGACAUUGUAUUUAAAUCCUGAAGAUAUAUUUCAUUCUUUUGUCAAUCACCAGGUCAGGUCCCUUGUGUCCCCAGUUCUUGGUCCAGAACGGGUAUUAUUGCUAAUUGGGGAACCUGGACUUAGUAGAGAAUUGGGUUUACGAACAUUGUCGAUCGUCGACGAAGAGAAAAUGCAGCAUCCAAUCAUCUUCUUUCUCAUCUAUCGGCGUCAGAUUGGUUCGGACAUUAUUGAACAUUGUUAGACUGCUUUCUGUGUUGUAAAUAGUUUUGCUGAUUAUGAGUGAAGAAGGAAAUAGCCUACAACAUGUUUGUAACUUACUACACUGGCUAAGAUAACUCGAGAAGGGCCCUUUUUUGCUAGGACCUCUCAACAGAAAAGUAAUUUUCAAGAGAUCAAAUUGUCCACUAUGAAAAGAGUUAAUUGUCUUCAGAAAUGGGGUGAGAGAAUAGGCAAAAGCCGAGGCUGGACUGCAUUGCUAGUUCAGAUCUCAUACUUUAAGAUCUACUGUUGAGAAUGAUGUUUCCCUUUACAAGCAAUCACGCAAUUUAUGCGAUCAUCUGUUGAAUCUCUCUGCCU